GUAGCUCAGUUGGCUAGAGCAUCAGCCUUCCAAGCUGAGGGUCGCGGGUUCGAGUCCCGUCUCCC
rnacentral:tRNA from 1 species